CACUCACCCUUUCAUUCUCCGCCCGGGGCCUGGCGUGGGCCGGCGAAUCCCCGGCCUCACAUCAGAGUGAGAGGCGCUGGCAAUGGACUAGGAAGCUCGGCUGCCGCUGCUACUGCUCCCCCCUGGGCUCCGGCGAGAGCCUUUCCCUGUCAAGCAAGAGGGGUGAGGAUCAUAUUUUUAUUUUGGAAACUAAAAAGUGCUCCCAGGGUCGGUGAUUAUUAAGGGGAAAUCCCUGAAUAUACUCUCCAGCCAAGAAGGCAGGGCUGCCGGGGCUGUACAAGAAGAGGCAGCAGCCUCCUACAGCACCACUACAGGCACUGCGAGGACAUAACACCAGAGAGCUGCUCCUCUGCCCUCCGAAACGACAACUUUCCUACCAUCUUGGAGGCAGAGCAAAGGGGGGCCAGGGGGAAAAGUGCACCCGCUCCCGAUAAAGUACAAAUUUUUACUUCUCAUCUCUGGGAAAAAGUCCACACCGGCCGUCUACACCCGCGCCUGGGGGAGAAAGCAGGGAAGAAACGGGGGGUGCAUGAGAAACGUUUUCAUUUGCUCCAGGGGGAAAAAUGUUUCUGCAUCUUCUGAUGGAAAGAAAUCUUUACAAGACACAGGUUUUCCGGUGAUUAUUGUUUUCUAUUUUCUGUUUUUAGUUUUUUUCAUGUUAGUGACAGUGAUAUUUUAAUAUUUUUUUAAGCCAGUAAUAAUUUUUCUCCAUUACAGGGCUAAGUUCUGUGGCUGGUGGUCAGUUUGUAAA
rnacentral:lncRNA from 1 species